CACUAACCCCGAAACCCGGCCACACUAAGUCGGGCAAUUCGGACAUACGGACAUACGGGCACACUAAGCCAAGCGCUAUAUAAAGCGGGCGGCUGACCUCAGAAUGAUCAGUCGGUGGUCGGAGUCGACCGAGGUGGACGUCACCAGCGAGCGGGAAAGCAGCAAGAUCAGGACCGGGAUCAACAAGUGGGUCCUGCUUACGUCUAUA
rnacentral:misc_RNA from 1 species